rnacentral:lncRNA from 1 species
GUAAUGCAGCCUCGCAUAGCGAGGCUGGAUGGGCCACUUCGUGCCCCAUAUAUCUAAUUUCCCGAAACCGUACCAUUAUUUUGGGGCAUGCUACGCCUAUGUUAUCCGAAUGUCAUCCAUAAAUAUUCGUAAAGUCCAAACAGUGUUGUAAAAGCAGUUUUCUCAAUAUAUUCAUUAUGCAUCACCACAACAUUGUAACAGCUAGUUAAAUACAUUGUUGAAAAUAAUUUAGCUCUACUUAAAGUACCAAACCAUUCCUCAACACAAAGUAAUGGGUAAGCAUCUUUG